rnacentral:lncRNA from 12 species
GGGAUGUUGAAUACACUUGUUUUCUUCUAUUAUGGAAGCACUGGAGAUUUUGUACCUUUUGUUUAGAAAUAUGCACAAAUAUAUGAGAUCCUAGUUUAUGUCAGGCUGGGUCUUAAGACUAAAGCAGGAAACGAGGUGGUCUGUGAUGUCAUAGAGGGUCUUCUACAUAGUGCCUCUGUCUUCUUUUCAGGACGUGAUGGCAUCCUGGAAAAAGUACUGGUAGGGAAGGAGUAGAUGAGCUGCCUGACUCAUUUGGUGCUAGACCCCACUUACCUGGCACCACAAACACUAUUAUUGCACAGGCACAGAUACUGAAGACUAUUGUUUUCUUAUUACUGCUAUUACCAUUGCUGUUAUCAUCAAAUACAAUAACCUUAUAAUUACUAUUGGACAUUCAUCAAGAAUUACAAAGCACUGCCUCUAAACAGGCUCCACCAAGGGUUGAUGACUUCAAGAGACAGAAAAUAAAACUCCAUCUAAGCCCCAUGGUUUGAAUGGCCAGAAGCUGUUUUGUCACCACAGACUGCUCUUCUAAGAAUAUACAGACUUCAACUCACUGAAUGUGUCUGCAAGCCAAGGGUUUGCUUUCUCUGUUGUAGAAAGAAAUCCUCUGAGACACUGUUAUACUGUCUUUCCUGGAACUUUUUGGCAUAGAAACAAAAUGGAAAGGCCAGAACAGUCAAUAUAACUGUCAUGUGCUCAGUACCACAAAAAAUCUGCAUAACACCAAAUUUCAAGAGUGAUGGAGUAUGAACUGGUCCUUACAUGUGGAUUAUACAGAUGGUCCUCAAAGUGUUUAAGCACAUUUGAACAUGCAAGAUCCAUUAUUUAUUGCAAGAGAUGGCGAUCAGAGGCGGAACUUCGCAUGGGCCAUUAGCAGGUGCCAAGGGAACAUGGCUAGCAGUGAGUUCUUUAGCAUCCCGGCCUGCCUCCCUCGGCAGCCAGCCCCUCUGGCUGAGCCAGCUGGAUCACACUGAAUUAGUCAAGUACUUCAUUAUCAACCCUCUCUGCACAUUUUGCUCCAGGUAUAAGUACUACAGAAAGACCCACAGAGAGAGAGAGACAGAGGCCCAGACCAAAUCCCAGUAUUUACUAUCAAAGAAGGGAGAAGGAGCUCUGAGGGAAAAACACUAAUGAAAUACGCUUGACAACAGCGAAGGCAUCACAGAUUAGCACCAGCAAAAAUGCGCCACGGGCACCUGAUCUCCCAGCCUCGGCCAGAACCUCCUACAGAUCCACCAGGCCUCCUGCUUGACACUCUCCCCGUUGGUCAUACCCACGUGACGGAAGUAGACAAAACUGGGAGAUCCAGAGAGAAGCAAACACUGGUUAUCAGAUGACCCUCAGGGAACCAAUCUGGGAUCUAGUUUUGGAGCAGGUCUUGCAGCCAAAUGGAAUGGGUUCCCGAGGUUGAACAACCGGCUCUGGCCAAUCAGAGGCCAGAAGAGGUAACAACAGCAGCAAUUUUCUUCAUUCUUCCUAGCUAACUGGUUCAUCUAAAUGGUUCUCCUGGUUCCAGAAGCUUCAUCCCCACAACUUUGUAAAAUAUAUGCAUAUAUUAAGAGAAUAGUGUAAAUGGUUUUCAGAAGGGAAGAUGGGUAGACAGACCAUUUUAUUUGGCUAUCCUUUUGAUAUAAAGCAUCAUCGAAUCCUAGAGUAACUGGGAUACCAGGCAGGAAACCAAAGCAGGAAUUUAAGAAUAAUAUCUCAUAGGUGAGUUUAUUAGGAUCAGAUUAGUAAAGUACAUGACAGUGUUUAUAAACAAUAAUAUUAUCCAACUAUUAAUUACCAUUUCACUCACAAGACUGAUUUCUUUGAGAAAAAGGAACCACAUUACACUCAUAUUGGUAUCCUCAUAACCUAGCACAACCUCAGCC